ACGCUCGACACCUACGGGAGGCAGCAGUGGGGGAUAUUGCACAAUGGGGGAAACCCUGAUGCAGCAACGCCGCGUGAAGGAAGAAGGUCUUCGGAUUGUAAACUUCUGUCCUCAGGGAAGAUAAUGACGGUACCUGAGGAGGAAGCUCCGGCUAACUACGCGCCAGCACGCCGGCGGUAAUCNGAGGCCGGGUCUGGACGAAGGC
rnacentral:rRNA from 1 species